rnacentral:rRNA from 1 species
GUGAGGAAUAUUGGUCAAUGGGCGCAAGCCUGAACCAGCCAUCCCGCGUGCAGGAAGACGGCGCUAUGCGUUGUAAACUGCUUUUCCAGGGGGAGAAACUUGCGCACGUGUUGCGCAAUUGACGGUACCCUGGGAAUAAGCAUCGGCUAACUCCGUGCCAGCAGCCGCGGUAAUACGGAGGAUGCGAGCGUUAUCCGGAUUCAUUGGGUUUAAAGGGUGCGUAGGCGGACUAUUAAGUCAGUGGUGAAAUCCUGCAGCUUAACUGCAGAACUGCCAUUGAUACUGAUAGCCUUGAGUUUGGUUAAGGUAGGCGGAAUGUGUAAUGUAGCGGUGAAAUGCUUAGAUAUUACACAGAACACCAAUUGCGUAGGCAGCUUACUGAGCCGACACUGACGCUGAGGCACGAAAGCGUGGGGAUCGAACAGGAUUAGAAACCCUAGUAGUCC